GUAAGGAAUAUUGGUCAAUGCCCGGAAGGGUGAACCAGCCAUCCCGCGUGAAGGAUGAAGGGGCUCUGCCUUGUAAACUUCUUUUGUAUGGGGCGAAAAAAGGGGAUUUAUCCUCGACUGACGGUACCAUAAGAAUAAGCACCGGCUAACUCCGUGCCAGCAGCCGCGGUAAUACGGAGGGUGCGAACGUUAUCCGGAAUCACUGGGUUUAAAGGGUGCGUAGGCUGUUUAAUAAGUCAGUGGUGAAAGGCCGUCGCUUAACGAUGGGACUGCCAUUGAUACUGUUAGACUUGAAUCAGGUUGAGGUUGGCGGAAUGUGGCAUGUAGCGGUGAAAUGCAUAGAUAUGCCAUGGAAUACCGAUUGCGAAGGCAGCUGACUGGACCUUGAUUGACGCUGAGGCACGAAAGCGUGGGUAGCGAACAGGAUUAGAAACCCUAGUAGUCC
rnacentral:rRNA from 1 species